CGCCCGCCGCGCGCGGCGGGCGGGGCGGGGGCACGGGGGGCCUACGGGAGGCAGCAGUAAGGAAUAUUGGUCAAUGGAGGCAACUCUGAACCAGCCAUGCCGCGUGCAGGAAGACUGCCCUAUGGGUUGUAAACUGCUUUUAUCCGGGAAGAAACCUUUUACGAGUAAAGAGCUGAAUGUACC
rnacentral:rRNA from 1 species